UAUUCUGUUGGUGAUCCUUGUAUCUACAGCUCCUUGUCUCUUCCUUUGGUUUUCUAUAUCCAGGGUUGUUUCCCUUUGUGCUUUCUUUAUUGUUUCUAUUUCCAUUUUCAAUUCCUUCACCUGUUUGAUUGUGCUUUCCCAUAAUUCUUUCAGGGAUUUUUGUGUUUCCUCUCUAAAGUCUUCUACCUGUUUACUUGUUUUUUCCUGCAUUUCUCUAAGGGACAUGUUUAUGUCUUUCUUAAAGUCCUCCAUCACCAUGAUCAAAUGUGAUUUUAAAUCUAGAUCUUGCCUAUAUGGUGUGUUUGGAUAUUCAGUGUUUGCUUUGGUGGGAGAAUUGGGCUCUGAGGAUGCCAUGUACGCUUGGCUUCUGUUGCUUGGGUUUCUGUGCUUGCCUCUCACCAUCAGGUUGUCUCCGUUGUUAUCUUUUUCUCCUAUUUCUAGGAAUUGCUUGACCGUCCUAUAGGCCUGUGUGUUAGGAGUGCUGUAGACCUCUUUUCUUGUUUUCUUUCAGCCAGUUAUGGGAACAGAGUGUUCUGCUUUCAGGCGUGUAAUCGUUCCUGUCUACUGGCUUUCAGCUCUUCCUGUGGGCGAGUGUCCUGAGUUCAUUUUGCAAGUUACUUGGAGUAGAAAAGUUGGUCUUACCUCUGGUCUCAUGCCUGAAGUCACUCCUUGGGGCUGGGUUUCAGCUCUCCAUAUGGGUAGCAACCAGAAUGGCCUGCCCCUACUUUUGGUUCCCUAUGCGCAGGGGGCCCUGAUGGCCCUAAGUGUUUUCCUCUAGAGUCAGAAAUGUGGGCAGAGAGUAGUCUCCUCUGGUUUCCUAGGCAUGUCUGCCCCUCUGAAGAUCUAUCUCUCCCUCCCUCGGGAUUUGGGUGCAGGGAGCUAUUUGGCCCGGGGCCCUUCAGAUCCAGGCGCAAUCUGGACUGCAGGGCUCCUGCAGCUUGAGUGCCCCUAUCUUCCUGUGCCCAGAGGCCCUAUACAAUUUCCUCUUGGUGCAAGGAUUAGGUAAAGGUGGGCAGAAGUGGAAGUCUCUCCUGCCCUGCAGUCUCAGGAUUGCCCACAGGUCUUGGGGUUGAGUUCUCUCUCCCACAGGGUUUGGGAGUAGGGAGCUGUUGGCCAGGAUCAGCGAGGUUCGGGUGCCAGCUAGGAACUGGAAGUGUCUGGUCCCAGAGGAAUUUUGCCUUUGUGUGUCCUGAGUCCACCAGGCAGGUCACUUGGAGCAGUAAAGUUGGUCUUACCUCUGGUCUUGGGCUUUAAGUCGCUCCUUGGGGCUUGGUUUCAGGUCUCAGUGAGGGCAGCAAUGAGAAGGGCCUGUCCCUACUUCUGGGUCCCUGUGGGCAGGGGACCCUGAUGGCCCUAGGUAUUUUCCUUUAGAGUCAGAAAUGUGGGCAGAGAGUAGUCUCCUCUGGUUUCCCAGGCAUGUCUCAUUAAAUUUAAUUCUAAUAAUAUUGGCCCAGUUUGAAAGACAGUUAAUAAUGGUGAUAGGGUUGCAUUCAAGGAUGUUCAAGCAAUCUGUAUAUAGUUGUUAUUAUCUACCUUCAAAGGUUGCCCUUGUUUCUUGAGACCAACAGAUCUAAGAAUGAUACAUUUUAGUGGUACAUCUCACUAUAGAAACUCCAUCUUUCAGACUGUUGAGCAUUCAUGGGAGGAAAAAGGAACUAAUGUGGAAAAUCACGUUCUGCCCACAAGUUAGUGAAGAUAAUCAUGGACUUAUCCUACACCGUAGUAAGCUGAAUACUUUGAAGACACUGCUGACUGACUUUGUCCUGUCUGAUAGUCAAGAUCUCUAUAGAUAGGCUGAGUGUAAGAUCUCAUUCUGCCUACUGGUUAUUUAAGAUCACUGACAAUUGGGCUGAGUGCAAACAGAGCUCCAUAGAACACUCCUAGGUUUGCAUAGGUCAGAGGUACUCCUUGGCAGUAUGUCCUUUCUCUCUCAACUUCUGUGCGUGUGGAAACAAAGGACCACUGAAGAAUAGGCAGUGCUAGAUGGAACAAGAAAUUCGCAUUUAUAACUGCAAAGGAAACCCACCACCUUGUCAGUUGACACAGACAGAAUGAUAAGCCAACAAUCUAGGUCACAAAAUAAGAUGUUGACUACAGAAUUCAAAGAGGUAUUCUCUGGCUACUUGUUACUAUUAAAAGGACCAAGUCUAUGGAAUCAUCAUAGAACAACUUCAUAUAUUUAAGUCACUACCACAACACACCUGCACAUUCCUAUGGAAUUUUGGGAUCAUUCCUAUCCUCCUGGAAUACCAGCUCCUUUCUCCAGUUUGGAACCUUUGUAAGGGGGAAACUGCCAUUGUUCAUCUAGAGAUAUGAAACUGCAUAGAGAUAUCUAGAGCAGCAGCACAUUUACAGGAGAUGUUGCACAUGUUGGGGUAAACUCUCUGACCUGGGUUUCCUGAACAUUCCUUGGUCAAAGAAGCUUCAUUUUGGGAUGGAGAGAUGGCUCAGCGGUUAAGAGCACCCGACUACUCUUCCAGAGGUCCUGAGUUCAAUUCCCAGCAACCACAUGGUGGCUCAUAACCAUCUGUAAAGAGAUCCGAUGCCCUCUUCUGGUGUGUCUGAGGACAGCUACAGUAUACUUAUAUAUAAUAAAUGAAUAAAUCUUUUUAAAAAAA